rnacentral:rRNA from 1 species
UACGUAGGGUGCGAGCGUUGUCCGGAAUUAUUGGGCGUAAAGGGCGCGUAGGCGGCCCUGUGUGUCGGGUGUGAAAGCCCACCUCUUAAAGGUGGAAUUGCAUUCGAAACUACAGGGCUGGAGUGUCGGAGAGGAUGGCGGAAUUCCUGGUGUAGAGGUGAAAUUCGUAGAUAUCAGGAGGAACACCGGUGGCGAAGGCGGCCAUCUGGACGACAACUGACGCUGAGGCGCGAAAGCGUGGGGAUCAAACAGG